CGACUAAUUUGUUAGGUUGGUUCUUCAUCAUUUUGUAGAUGCCCUUCCUUCUCGCUACGUGAACUAACUAAUGAAAGAGGGUGGAAGUGACCCAUGAAGCUUGUCGUCAAGCUCACUACAUGAACUAACUAUACUCAGACUGCUUGUCGUCAAGCUCACUACAUCAACAAUAUGAAGCUCAAUAGGGUGGAAGUGGACCUUAUAAGGCUGUUGGAGGCUACUUUAUGGCAGCAAAACAGGUUAAACUUGUCUAUGUAUGUAACUGUAGCUAAUAUGAAUAUCUUAGAUCAUUUGUUUUCCAUCCCGUGUAACUGAUUUAAAGGAAAAUAAGUAGUGCAGCCUCAUUCUGUUCUUAUUAGUGAUAGAGAACAAUCUCAGAGACUUAGACUAUUUUGUUUUAGCACAUGAUGUCUGAUUCUUCUAUCAAUCUGAGUUGGGUUACAAUAUUAGUGGUGUGGUGGUUAUUUGUGCUCCCCCAAAUGUUUUUUAAGGUUCCCUUGUUUGAAUGAAACAGAAAAAUAAUCUUCUACAUGACAACGGCAAACAAAAUUGGGAAACUAUUAAUACAUAAUCCACUUUUUGUAUUUUGCAUCAAUGUAAAAACCUGAAUCCUGUACAUGGAGUAUUGGUCGCCAAUUAAGAGUACAUUCUGAUAAGCCUUUUGCAUAUUGCUGCUGUUUACAGAGGUUUCAGGAUUCAGGAUUUUACAUUGACACAGGUUUCAGGAUUCAGGCUAUCCUUGCAUUCUUAUCCACGGAAUUCGAUUUGGCUGAUACUGGCAUUGGGUUUCAAUAUUUUGUUAAAUCUUUAUGACUUAACAUUAUGAUGAGCGACAAAACGGCCCAAAAUGAUAAGAAUGGGGGCUUUAAGUGCUCCACUAACUUAGCCUCUAGGAAAAUCAGUCAGGCGCAUUAUUUCAGGGUUCAGUCGGUCUCACAAACUGGGUUCUUCAGGUAGGUGAUAUUAAAUUCCGUGGCAUGAAAUGAUUUAAUAUAAUCAUGGCAAUAAGCAGUAUCUGCUUCUUUCGUAAAUGUUUAUUUAUUAUAAAAACUUGAAAAGAUGUCUAGAAUUGUAUGGUUUGUUGUCUAUGCUAAUCAUCUUUAUUGAUAAGACUUCCAAUAUUUUUUGACACAAAUAUCUGGGCAAGCAGCACAAAGUCGACCAUGGCAGAUAUUAUCGGUAUCGAUCUAGGCACACCGAAUUCAUGCGGGUUCCUGAAGGACAGAUCGACGGGUUCCUGAAGGACAGAUCGACGGCACUGACGCCCCCGCACCUGUUAUUGUAAAGUUGAAUGUUUACAAUAAUGGAUGCCAAUACACAUGAUCUUGCUGGUGCUUACAUUGUUUCUGAAGAAUAUUUAGAACUAAUAAUGGCUUUUCCUGUUAAAUUUGCAGAGAGAAGGGAUGACCAUUCAUGCUGAACGGCUCAACUUUCAUCGUUAUAUCUCACACUUCCGUUAUGUUCAUAGGGGCUGUGCUUUUGCUAAAAUGCGUACAACAUCUGUUAGAAAGUUACUCCCGGAAUCAUGGGGUUUCCUGUGUCCAGUUCAUACACCUGACGGAGAGCCUUGUGGUUUACUGAAUCACAUGACUUCUACAUGACGUGUUUCAUCGUUCUACAACUCAGAAGGGGUGAUCAAAAAUUUUGGGGAAAUGAAGAAGUUGCUUUCUGCGGUUCGUGUUGGAAUGAACCCAGUGUUACCGAAGAUUGAGCAAACCGGUCCCCCAGAAGUACUCCAUGUCCAUUUGGAUGGGUGCAUUCUUGGUACUAUUGCUUCUGCUAUGAUUGAGAAAGCAGUUAAUUAUCUUCGUACAUUGAAACUUCUGGCACAAUCACUUGCUAUUACUGACUGACAUGUCCACUCCUCAUAUGUGAGAUAUUGGGGUUGAUAUAUAUGUUGUUCGUUUCCAUGUACUUGUUGUGCACUAACAUUUAUCGAAUAAUUUGUACACCGUC